CCCUUGGACUGCAAGGAGAUCCAACCAGUCCGUCCUAAAGGAGAUCAGUCCUGGGUGUUCAUUGGAAGGACUGAUGCUGAAGCUGAAACUCCAAUACUUUGGCCACCUCAUGUGAAGAGUUGACUCAUUGGAAAAGACUCUGAUGCUGGGAGGGAUGGGGCAGGAGGAGAAGGGGACAACAGAGGAUGAGAUGGCUGGAUGGCAUCACCGACUUGAUGGACUGGCUUCUGUUGAGAGCUUCCCUGGUGGCUCAUACACUAAAGCAUCUGCCUACAAUGCGGGAGACCCAGGUUCAAUCCAUGGAUCAGGAAGAUCUCCUGGAGAAGGAAAUGGAAACCCACUCCAGUAUUCUUGCCUGGAAAAUCCUAUAGACGGAGGAACCUGAUCCCAUUUAGUGAAUCCUGCUUGCUCUACCUUCAGGAUAUAUCCAGCUGCUGCCCCUGCCAUCCUGUCCAGGCCAUUGCCACCUCUUGUCUGAAUCAUCACAGAGCCUCUAACACGUCUCCCUUCAUCCUUUUGCCCCUGACACGGUGGAGAAGAGACCAAACAGCUGCCAGAGAUCCUCAGCAUGGCGCCCUGGGGCACCGAGGACGCGUGUGCUGCUGUGAAAGCAGAAGCCAGAAUUCUCAUGAUGACUUCAGGGCCCCCUGUGACUCGGCCCCUACGUCCUUCUCUUCAUGCCCUCGCACACUUCUCACCUCUCAUUCUAUUCCAGCCACAGGGGUCUGGCUUCCGUUCCCUGAACUCUCAUGCCCUGAGGCCUUUGCACUCGCUGUCCCUUCUGCCCACACUGCUCUUCUCUAGGGUAUCUGACAGCUCACUCCCUCACCUCUUUCAGGGCUUUCAAAUGCCACCUUCCUCAUGGAGCCUUCCUGGUCAUUCUAUUCAUAAUUUCUCCCCUAAUGGAAACCCUUCACCCCACUAUGUCCCUGAUUUCAUUUUCUCUUUAGAACUUAUGAUGAUCUGACAUACAUAUUUAUAUUAUAUAUUUUAUAUACUUAUUGUGUUGAUUGUCUUUUUCCUGCACAAGAAUAUGAAGUCUAUGAAGAAAUAGUUUUUUUAAAAGUUCUAUCCAGGGC
ensembl:lncRNA